UACGUAGGGUGCAAGCGUUGUCCGGAAUUAUUGGGCGUAAAGAGCUCGUAGGCGGUCUGUCGCGUCUGGUGUGAAAAUCCAGGGCUUAACCCUGGACCUGCAUCGGGUACGGGCAGACUAGAGUGCGGUAGGGGAGAUCGGAAUUCCUGGUGUAGCGGUGAAAUGCGCAGAUAUCAGGAGGAACACCAAUGGCGAAGGCAGAUCUCUGGGCCGUAACUGACGCUGAGGAGCGAAAGCAUGGGGAGCGAACAGG
rnacentral:rRNA from 1 species